CACUGCCAAGGCCACCACUAACCCAUGUCCCCAAGUGCCACAUCCACACAGCUUUUAAAUCCCUCCAGGGAUGGGGAUUCCACCCCUGCCCUGGGCAGCCCCUUCCAAUGCCUGAACACCCUUUCCAUGAUGAAAUUUUCCCUCCUCCAAACUAAACCUUCCCUGGCAUGGCUUGAGGCCAUCUCCUCUUCUGCUGCCCCUGGUUCCCUGGGAGCAGAGCCUGACCCCCACCUGGCUCCACCCUCCAAGGAGCCACAAGCACCCACUGAGUGGUGUGUGCAGACAUUUACCAGGGAUUUUAAAUGACUUUAGGGAUUUUCUGUUCUCGUAUCUGAUCUUGUUGUCUCAAAUAAUUACUCAGCUCAGGCAGAGGUUUAGGGAUCCCUGGGGACAUCGUGCUCCUGCUGUACCUGCACAGAAAGCUUGGCUGACUUGGGGAGAGACUGUGCAGGCUCUUAUCCUGUGAGAAUAAUGGCACAUGAGAGCAGCCCCAUGGAAAUCUGACUGAUUGGCAGUAAAAGCUGGGAAGGUGAUCAUCUAAGUGCAUAAAACGUGGCCAUAAAGGCACUCUGGCAUUAUGAGCUCAGGAAAUUGCAGGCGUAGAACUGGCCUAAACUGCUUUUUCCAAUCAGCUCCAUUAUCCAUCCCCUGGUCUCUCUCACAAAGAGCCUUUGUGAGCACAGUUCUUUGGGGCUGUUUUACAUGUUCAUGUAUAUUUUCCUGCUCUUUGACACUCACCACCUAGCAGCUUGGCUCCAUAACCUGUAGUGGAUAUUUCUUCUGUGCCUUCCGAAUGAGGCAGUGGCAAAAUCCUCCAGGCAAGUCUCACACUGUCUUUAACAAGAACCCUUUCUUCACCCAGUUUUCACCCAGCUACAGGUUUACCUGCAUCUCUUAAACACUAAACCCCAUCAGCUCAUGAUAUUUUUCCAAAUGCUUUUAUACAUCUUGACUCUAAUGGAGAUUCUGAGCAAAUUUCACAAAGCCUGUGUUACCCAUUUCACCUCAAAUGCAGUUCAUGAAUUAAUGGUGUCUGUUAAUUGGGCUGCUAAUCCCUCUCCCAGAAAAAAAAAUUAAAAAACAACCCAAAAAAUAUCAUAAUGCUUCUCAUUUUUAGGUACCAUGUUGUAAACAUGUUAAAGAUACUUUAAUAAAUGAGAGGCUUUAAUUAGAGCAGAGCAAGUUCAGUAUAUUCAUAUACAUAUAAUAGAUAUAUGUAGGAUAAAUGAAGAAAGAGCUGGACCCUUUUAAGACAGACCCUUUCCUCAACUCUCCAUCUCAGCCUUUUCCACAAAGAAAUCCAGGAUUCGUUUCAUUCAAAGGAUAGACUUUAAAUUUCUAUACUCCUGUCAGGGCAGCAUUAAAUAUUAAAGCCAGAUAUUAAAAUUUCAAGGAACCUAAAUUAAACCUGAGGUAUUCAAAAAUAAGUGUCCCUGAAUAUUUCAUGGUAAAGAUUUUGUAAUUAACUUACUUCAGAAAUCUCUCAUAUGAAGAAAGUGAGGAGCUACCUAGUAAAAUGUGACCAUCCCAGCGACCUUCCAGAGGGCUGCUCUCCAUCCACUGAAGAAUUUAUGUUUCUUGGGCUCUGUGACAUCUCUAUGGCUUCCCAAGGAAGCCUUGCCAGCCCUUUGUCUUCUCCAGGCUGGAAAACCCCCAGAGCAUCCCAAGUGUCCCAUCCCUCAUGCAAUAAACAGACUUGUGUGUGGAACCAAAGGGGCCAGGACUCACCAGAGCAGUUCACCAACUUCAGAUUUAAUGAGACAACAAGGAGAUGUUAUUUAUGGCUCCUUUAACUUUGAAUGUCCUGUGAAAAACUCCUAGAUUUACUAAGGAGGAGGAGCAAAACAACUCAAAUCAGGACAGGGUUUGUAGCCUCUGUAAGCAGGAUUUCUUCCAUUAUUCAGAAGGACAGGCUGACAUCCAAGGAGCAAUUGCCCAUUAGUGUCCUCCAAAGAUCUUCCAGCUGGACCACUCUCAGUUUCCCACCAGCAUCAGAUUGUUUACAGCUAGCACUGAUAACAUCUGCUCCUGUCUGCACAGAAAGCUUUGGGAGAGAGCUGGCCCAAUAUUUCAGUGUCAGCAUGGGAAAGCAGCUAAAAAUACCCCAACAGAUAAUAUAACAAUUUCAAUGUGGGUGUCUGUCUGAGCUUGGGAAAUUAAUGCAUAUUAAAAUGGUCUGAGAAGAUGCAAAAAGAUAGUAACCAGCUCUAAAUCAACGCAGCAGCAGCAGCAGCGUAAGGGCAUCUCUUCCUCCCUUCACCCGAGUUCUUGGGGCUGUGAAACAACCCUGUUUAUAAUGCACUUCUUUGAAUUCAUUAUAUAAGAAUUAAAUUUGUUACUCUAAAGGCUCCAACCCAUGUGCCUUUUUGUAAAAGGAAAGUUGCUAUAAACCAAUGCUGUGCCAAAUUUUUACCUCUCUUGGAGAAUGUGAGUGCAGCAAAUAAAGCCAGUGAUGUACAGCACAGCUUGUACCAAACCAGAAGGCCCUGGGUGCUGUCCUAGGUAGCCAGCUGACAGUCUGUGCAUGUUAAGGCUGUGGACUAAGCCUGAGCUACUGUUUAAAACUGCAUAAUUAACCAUACAUAAUUAGCAAUACUCUCAAAGAAGCCAGUUCCUGGGAUCACCAGCACCAUUUGCUGCCUCUGCUCUGCCCACGUUUGCAGAUAAGGGGGAUCCUGCUAUUGAAAGUUCUUAUACCUGUGGAAAUCUAGUAGAGAUCAGUGUAAAUAGAAUAUGAGAAGUAAGUCAUUGCCUUCAAACACUGUGAAGAGGCUUAAAUGCCUUCCCAAAGGAGAAUAUUGGUCUAUGACAAUGGGCAAAAGAUAAAGAGCAGAUUCAAUGGUACAGACUGUAAUUUAAUAUUCACAGUUCAUCUAAUCAAAGUAAACACACCCUUUCAUAGGAACAUGUCGAAGUCAUUGAAUUAUUGUGGAAAAGGGAAAGAACUUAGUGAACUUAGUCAGUGGUGAUACAAAAUAAUUACCAACCUUCAGAAGUUACAAAGCAGGCUACUGGGGCUUGAAGCCAUCUGUGGAGGAGAUCAGCUCAGGGGACGCCUGGGAACAGGGGAACACCUCUGCCCACCGUGGGGCCACUGCUCCAACAGUACCUUGAGGACGUGAGACAAUUUUAGUUAUUUCUCCAGAACCUUCUCUAAUGCACUUUUCUCAUAAAAUGUCUUGUGACUUCCUUAGGAAAGCAUGGAAUCAUGGAAUGGGUUGGUUUGUGAGGCACCUUAAAACCCGUCCAGUUCCACCCCCUGCCAUGGGCAGGGACACAUUCCAGUGUCCCAGGCUGGUCCAAGCCCUGUCCAACCUGGCCUUGGACACUUUCAGGCGAUGGGGCAACCACAGCUUCCCUGGGCAACCUGUGCCAGGGUCCCACCCCCCUCACAGGGAAGGAUUUCUUCCUAAUAUGCCAAUAUCUAACCCUGCCCUCCCUCAGCUAAAAGCCAUUAUCAGAAGACAGAAUAAACCAGGGUCCCAGCAGGGUCAUUCCUGUUUGUCCCCAGUGCCAUCAUGGGAGCCUUGGCUCCAGUGCAGUGAUAUUGUGGGAGUGUUACAGAACAGGGCAGGGCCCUGGCAGGGACAGCACAGCACGAGGGACAGCAGUGACUCUGAUUUAUAUCUCAAGGGGAAUUAAUUCAUCGUUCACGCAGGACUUACCAUGGCAGCAAUAAAUCAGUUUGCCUGAUAAAGGCAGCGGCACUAAAGAAUUCUGAGAUCUUUUGCCAGACUGGAAAAUGCAGCCUCUGUCUUCCUUCCCUCCUCAGCCCUGCUCAGUGCUCACAGUGCUGCCUUUGGAAAGGGUCAGGGGCAGAAAACAGAGCAGAGAAAAACCUUGAAGGCAUCAUAGAAUAGAAUCACAGAAUAUCCUGAGUUGGAAGGAACCCACAAGGAUCAUCAAAGUCCAACUCCUGGACACCAGGUUCAUGCCACACUGCAACAAGUAACUGAAUUUAAUCCUUAAUUUUCCUAUGAUAGUUUCAAAACAGUGAGUUUAGAGUUUGCAGGCCAUGUUUAUACCAUUUUUCCUUCAUUCUCAGGUGGUGGGCAGCUGUGGUUUUAUUUUGCACCAAGUUCUUUCUCUAAUAUUCAUCCCCAGUCAUCAACAAAAUAAGUUAAUAGAUGUAGGCGACUGUAAUGACAGUAAAUGCUGUGUGGGAGGCACCAUCCAUGCUGCAUUGUCAGUUCCUGCAUGUGAAAUUAAAUAUCCUAUUCCAGGCAAAUGCUAAUAUAUUCCAGGAGCACUUUGCCAUAAACAAAUUUUUAAAAGGCAGUAGAAUAAAAAGGUGAUAUUAAUGAUAUAUUGAAAUAAUCUGGUGGGUGUGAGGUUAGGACUGGGUUUUUUCUGGAGAGUCUGUCUUCCUAUUGGCAUGAAAUGAUCUGAAUGAAAGAAACAUCCAGGGUCUCACCACUGCUGCCCAAAAAUGGUACAGUGGCAUCAACCCUCAUUUGUGAACAGGAUGUUCUCUUAUAAAUGGGCUUUGCUGUUGGAGCCAGAACCACGGGACACAUUACAGCCUGGCUUCUGCUGAAAAAUUAUGUGAAAGACAAAACAUAAAAUCAUCUCAGAAUACCAGAUUGGGUUGGAUUGGAAGGGACCUCAAAGACCAUCCCUUUCCACCCCUGCCAUGGGCAGGGACACCUUCCACUAUCCCAGGUUGCUCCAAGCCCUGUCCAACCUGGCCUUGGACACUUCCAGGAAUGGGGCAGCCACAGCUUCUCUGGGCAACCUGUGCCAGGGCACCCUCCCAGUGAACAAUUCCUUCCCAAUAUCCCAUCUAAAUCUCCCCUCCUUCAGCUAAAGGCCAGGUCUGGGCUCCUGUAGCGCAGGACAGAGCAUUCCCCUUAGGUUUAACAAGCACUGCCUGUCUUUGAGAGAUUGUAACUAUUGAUUAUUCCUCUGCCCUGAUGGACUUUGGAUUUUUCUCUCCUGUUUUACACAGCAGCAAUCAGGAAGCUGAGGAUACAACAGCAUAUUGAGCCCUGAGCAAAAACACCUCAGGUUCUGGUGCAUCUUGCUUAUAUUUUAAUUACUCCACUAAUACAGGGAGGAUUUUGCAAAGCAGUGCCCUGAAUAACACCUUGGUUUGGAGCCAUAUGUUCUUCAUUCCACAAAAUAUCUUUCGUUGGUGAUGCAGACCACAAGGCUUAGCACAUUUGCAUAUGAUAAGACAAUUUAAAAGAAUAAAUAAGCUCAGCAUUAAGCAGCCAACAUGACAAUAACACCUGAGUGAUGCAGCAGAGAUUAGAGCUAAAAAUAGCUUAGAACACCAAAAAUACUUGCAGACAAGUAAUAAAAGUGUGUUUUCAAGGUGAUUUAUUAGGAAUUAUGAAGCAGUCCUGGCUUUGUGCUGAGCUGUGAACAGUGAAAUUGGAAUAAACAAAAUAAUCUUGCUGUGUUAAUAACUUGCUCUAAACUCCCCAUAUGUAUCACACUCUUCCUGGUUGCCAAGUGAGGACCAUGACUUAAAGGAGAGAUUCUGUGUAAAAUCUUUAUCUAACUAGAAAGAGAAAUGAGUGAAGGUAGAGACACUGACCCUGCUCAUGGGAAUGGGGAGGAAAGUGCCAGGGUCUGCUCCAGGAGGUAAUUCCACUCCUCCAGGGCAGGACUUAGCCGCUCUGGGUUGGAGAGGGAUAAACGAGGCCAUGGCAUUGCUGGGGGUACCAUGGCAGUGCUGGGGAAGACACCUUUGGAAGGUAUUCUCAGAAUGUUCUGCCAGGGAAAAUAGACACGGUUUCCACAAUGAGGGGAAUUAAGAGCCAGUUCCACCUUGCCCAUUCGAGCUGAUCCCUGCCUGGAACACCACAGAGAGCCAAGGGGAACAUUGGCGACCUGGAGCUUCAGCAGCUCUCCAUGGAGCUCACAGGGGGCAAUGGCAGGGCCUGGCUUGUGGGUUUGAAAUAAAACAGAAUACAGGAAAUUAAAUGAAAUCAUAUAUAAAAUAAAAAUCUACAAUUACAUUAAAUUCAAUUACAUUAAAUUAAACAAACAAAACCCCCUCUCUGCCCAAGAUCCAUUUCAAUGUGCUGGUGGAAUUCCACACAUCACAUGGCCAAUGGCCAUUCGAUAUUUCAAAAGUGCUCACUCUCAUUUUAGAAUCAGAGUCACAGAAAGGUUUGAGUUGGGAGGGACCUCAAAGUUCAUCCAGUCCCAUCCCCUGCCAUGGACAGGGACACCUUCCACUAGAUCAGGUUGCUCCAAGCUCCACCCAAUCUUGAACAGCUUUUGCUUCACUUGCUGACCAUGCCACGCUCAGUGAUAGUCUUUCCAGUACCUCUUGGCCAGGAAAAUGAAGGAAAUGCCAGUCUCCAGCUCUGAGGGUUUCAGGGUGAAUUUGGAAGCGGAGAGCCUGGUUCAGAGAUCCUGUCCCCACCCCAAGGCUCUGUGGGGCACAUACACUGAGAGAGCCAUGUCACCAGGCUGGCUCUGAAUUGCACCUCUGUUCCAAAAUUCCCUUUCCUUGCCUUUUCUCUGCUCUGAGCCCAAAACUUUUGAAUCCUCAUUGUCUGGUUUGCCAAUUCCCAUCAGUGUUCUUUGUGCGGCAGCUCCCCAGGUCCCAGCGCUCAGUGACAUGUGGGAGCACACACAGCUACCAAUAAAUACAUCAACUAUGACAAGGGACUUUUAUAAGCAGCAGACUUUUAGGAAAGAGAAUAAAGCAUGCAUUAGAAAUCCUGUUAACAGUGUUUGCCAUUACUGCAAGAGGGAAAACAGCUUUCCCAGGGAUUUGAUUUCUUUUUUUCUUCCUAAUGAGCCCUGCUCUCUUCCCAUCACCAACAGACAAUGUUGAAUAUUAACAGUUACUCAGCAGUUAUCAGGUUUAGAUUUCUUCAUAAUGCCAGUGAUUCCAAUAACGUUGUUGCUCCACUCCUAUAUAAUUUCUGUGAUAAAUAUGGAUAGCAUUCAGCACCAAAGCUCACAGUUAUGCUGCAGAGGGACCAGGAAGGGUAUUUUGGUUAAUUCAGUCCUGUGCAGAUCAUGAAAAACUAUGUCAAAGCAUCAUCAAAGAGGGUUUUGCCAAAUAGUUGUUCCUCAAUUUUUUCAAUAACAAAAUCCAGUAUUUUUGAGGAUCUCCAGCAUCUCAAGCACAGAAUCACAGAAUCAGAGAAUUGUUAAAGUUGGAAAAACCCUCCAGGAUCAUUUGAGUCCAACCUGUGACCAAUCCCCACCUUGUCACCCAGCUCAGUGAGUGCCAUGGCCAGUCGUUCCUUGGACAUCUCCAGAGCUGGGGACUCCACCACCUCCCUGGGCAGCCCAUUCAUUCUGUGAAAAAACAGAUUUAAAUGUGUCACUGCAGGUGCUGCAGCUCCAUCUGCCCUCUGUGAACCACAGUCAAAUGGCAUCAGAAGGGGACAGGACAAGGACCAGCCCAGAUGUUUCCAGUUAAAACUGAAGGAGCAAAUUAUUCAAAAAGGUCUUAAUUAUUGCUACCCAUGCAAAAGAAACAGUAGAUGACAGGAUGAGUUCUGUGAGAGGCAGAGUAAAGCUCAUUUCUAGGACAGGAAAAAUUUAUUAUGAAUGUGUAUGAACACAGUAAAGCAGCUACAACCCUCUGAUUAUAUUUUUCUACCAAUCAGGUCUAAUAUAGAAUCAUAUAAUUCCAGAUUGUUUUGGAUUGGAAGGGACCUUAAAGCCCAUCCAGUCCCACCCCUUGCUAUGGGCAGGAACAAUCUUCCACUAUCCCAGGUUGCUUCAAGCCCCAUCUAACCUAGCCUUGGACACUUCCAAGGAUCAGGCAGCCACAGCUGCUUUGGACACAUAAGAAUGUGGUAUAUUUUGUACUACACCCAGGAAGAGGAGCAUUCUUGCAUCUGUUAAACUUAUUUGCAUGAGGGGUGAGGAUAUGGAGCUGAUAUUCCCGACUUAAUCUCCCUGUCAGCCUCUGAAAGCUUGAAAAGCUUGAGAGAUAAACCCCAAUCUGAGCAAUCACGCAGCAGCUCCCGAUUACACGGCUCAAAACACCCGAUCAAAGCACGUGUAUGAGCGAAGUCACUGCACUGUUAAUGCCUCCCUUUCAAAAAAUGCACCUGAGCGUGGCACCGACACAGGUCACAGAGGCAGAGCCCGUGUAAGCUCCAGGAGCUCCCACACAGCGCAUCACUGCAAACUGUUUUCUUCUGUGGCAAGUGCUAAUUCCUAAGGUAAUGAAUGGAUAUUGAAUGUACAGUGGGCUUGGUGUUCCAUCUCCCCAGUCCCUUCGUUUUGGCAGGUUUGAUGCGGGUGACCUUUCCUCGGCAGGGGUUUGCUGUUUAAUUACAAGCUGGGGGAGCUGGGCUGUGCAAUGGAAUCGCUCCGUAGCCAGCGCUCCCUGUAACAGGGGCUGCCUGCUGGGAGCCGGGCAGGGAUCACCCAGCAGGGCCCUUUCGAAAUCACUCAGCAGAAUUACAGUGCUGAUGGCAAAGCUACUUACGGGCAAACAGGGUCAGGGAGGCAUUAAAGAGGCACGAAGGGGAGCCUGGCAAUACCCACCCGCUCGGAACACAAAGCUUCCAUGGCAGGGCUGGUGCUGAAAGCAAACAUUUGUACAGCCCUUCACCCAUGGAAAUCCAAUCAGCGCUGGGGAAUUAGUGCUGGGGUGUAACGAGGGAUGAGGGGAUGGCUGGGAUGCAUGGGAUGAGCACCUGCCCGAGCAGCACUUCCUUUGUGUUCCAGUGGUCUCACUGCUUCCCUGCUCAGUGCUGUGCAGGCUCUGGGGUCCCCUGUGCCCCUCUGAUCCCCUGCAGGCAAAUCCCAGAGUGUCCUGGAGAUACCAUUUGACAGCCCAUGGUGCCGGUCCCCAGCACACUGACGGAGGGAAGAGUCACUUCCCAGUUAGUGCAGCACAACCAGUGAGAUUCCCAGGAGGAAGAGCCUGAGUAAAUUGAAACUGUUUAUUAAAAUGAGCCUCAAAAGAGAGAAAAACCAAACAGGAAGGACUCAGCAGGAAUCUGACCCCCUUUUUUUUCCUGGGACCCCAUUCAUAGAAUCAUUAAGAAUCACAGAAUCAUUAAGAAUAACAGAAUCAUUACGAUUGGAAAAGGCAUCCAAGAUCAAGUCCAACCAUUCCAUCAUACUGCCUUGGAAAUUCUAAAAGGGGGCUCAUUUUACAUAAGGUUGAUGAAUGAAAAUAAAUAUUUUCCAUUCAUUUUAAUCUCUUAAAUGUUAAAAAAUAAACCUUUUGCAGAAGACCAGUCUUCUUUUUGUUGCAGAGUAAAUGACUGAGGUGAAUCCUCAAGUAUAAAACAGUUUUUUCCAAAAGAAUGUUCUAAAUGGCACCUGCCAGGUUUGAUAUGUGUGAUGUAAGAACUAACAACCCACAAUAAUAAAAUGGUCUUAUUAAAAUAAAUACAAAAUCAGAGAGGUUUAAUGAAACACAGCCAAGUGCCCUCAGUGGCUUAAACAAAGCAAUCCCUGCCAGGAUUUGUACCACAGAAAGAGAGGGUUGGCCCAGGGUGUUUGCUUAUGAAUCUCCAUAUUCAUUCACAGUAAAUAUUGGACUUCCCUUCUCAUUUCAUAUGGAAAGUGAGCUGGAACAGUUACAUUAAAAUAUGUGAAAGAAUAAAAAUCAACCUACAAAUGGAGGUAUUUGACUGGUGUCCAAGGGCACAGUAAAAUAGGCAAGUUAAUACUGAGUAAUUACAAAGUGUUUCCACCAGUUGUGCUUACUGUGACACACUGGCGAACCAAAGCAAGGAGGGAGGCAUGGCAUGAAUAUAAACAACUACAAAUAUGCUCAUUUGUAUGAAGAAUAUCCCAUACACACACCUUAAAUGUAAAAGAAAUAAUUUUUAUAUACCUUCCCAAAGUAUAUAUAUAAUUUUUAUAUAAUUUCCCUCAGUUUAGUUAAGUAAAUUUAUUCUAAUUUUAUUAAUUGUCAGACUGAAAAAAACUCAACCACGAGAGGAAACUUAACAUCUGACUUAUAAUGAAUUUCAGGACUGUAAACAUUUAGCUUGAGGUAUUGGCAAAUAUCCCAAAUAAUGUUGUAUUUUAUUCCAGGACAAAUUAUGUAGCAUCCAGAUAAAAGCAAAGCCAACUCCUGCUCCUGUUUGAGCAUGGGCAAUUUUCUCACAGGUGAAUUGUUUCCUGAAUUCAUAGUAAAUCCAAGAAUAAUCCCAGGUUUGGGUUGGAAGGGGCCUUAAAGCCCACCCAGUUCCACCCCUGCCAUGGGCAGGGACACUUUCCACUAUUCCAGGUUGCUCCAAGCCCCGUCCAGCCUGGCCUUGGACACUUCCAGGAAUGGAGCAGCCACAGCUUCUCUGGGCAGCCAACUUGGAAGUGUUUCUGUAGAAUGUGCAAUUCACACAAUUUUGGAGCCAUAAUUUCACUCCUUUCUGGGCAAUACCCGUCCCCCCUUUCUCUGCCAAAAUUCCUGCCUCCAGCCCAACGUUCAGUACCUGUGUGGAAAGAUCACAUAUUGUAUGUGUUUGUUUUCUGGCUUGUUUAGAACUGAGAACAGAACAAGCCAAGCGAAUCCAAGGAAAUCAAACCCGUGGCAGUCCCUGGUCACCCUUGCACUGCUGCAGGAAUCUAUUCCCGUGACUGGUGCAACUCCAACUGCAUCAAAUUCCACUUAAACUCCAUCAAUCAGCAGCAGCCGUGCAGAAAGCACAUUUCCAAAGCUCCUCGGGGGGUGAUGGAGCAUAGCCAGGUCCCCACCUUGGCUCCAGGGGCAGCCAGGGCUGGGCAUUCCUCACCUAUCCAGCCAAGGCUGAGGGCGCAUUCCUUGUGCAGCCAUUCUUCUCUUAGCCUGACAAUCCACCAUGUGGUGCUCUCUCCCAGGGAGGAUCUGAUCCUUACUGCCAGGAGGGAUCUGAUCCUCACUGCCAGGAAGGAUCUGGUCCCGUGGCAGUGGUGUGGCUCCACAGGGGGAGGUGGGGUGUGCAGAACCCCUCCUUGCGGGACCCAGAGCCACCGAGAGGACAAAGCCAUUUAACACAGUAAAUGCACAAUGGUUGAGUCACUUUUCCCUACGUUCCCAUUGCUCCUCUUGAGGAUUGUAUUUGAUUACAGAAUCAGGUUGCAGAUUGUACAUUGUGUCACAAGUAGCAAAGGAUACUUAUUUAUAUAUCUAUCUAUAUAUAUUUUACUGGGUUUUAUUCAUUUCUAAAUAAAUCAUCUCAGAUGCCAGGGUAUGGUGAGGAUUUUAGGUUUUAAAAAGUGGUUUACAGUAACUAAAUUAAACAGAUGCCUUAUUUCUGAGGAUUGCAGGAUUUUUUUGAAAAGAAACAAGCCCCUAUCGCAAGGUCCCUGCAGGAAUCCCAGCAGGAGAUGAGCUGAGGUGGGGAGGGUGUUUCUGUGUAAAGCCAACAUGGCACUGGGACAGGACCAAUCUCUGCAAAAGAAGUUGAUGUUUGAAAGGAGCCUUGAGAUCCCAGGCUUGGGUUGGCAUUCCCAGACCUGAGUGUUAGCCUGACCCCUCCUAACCCUCAGGAAGUGGCUGGUGCCUUUUCGGGGGGUCUCAAGCCAAGAAAGACAAUUCCAAGCAGAAUUCUACAGUACAUGGAAUAUCUGCCUCCAUGCCCACACAGAUCGUCCUACUUGCAAUUAAAUAUAAAACCUCUUUGAAACACAUGGAUAUUUUUUCCAAAGUCACUCAUUGACUUCCCUAUCCCCUCACUGCUGUACAAUAGGCAGGGACAAGCCCACUUUUCCAGAAUUCAUUCCCUAGGGUAACAGCAGAACUUUUCCCAGGAUUAAAACACAGCGACACUUCCUUUUUUUACAUUUGUUUGAUUAGCUUAACCUAAAGUUGACAGAGUCCCUAAUUCUUCCCAGAUCUCAGCUACAGCCUGUAGGGACGAGUGUAUUUAUUUCCGCAUCUGUUCCCCAAAUUAACUCAGAAAAUUAUUAUGAACGAAGGGUUCUUGGUAGUGCCCGGGGAAGCUCUUCUGGAACAUUCCAUCCCAGCGAUCUGCCAGGAUCAUUCCUCACACAACUGUUUCCUCUCCUUUUAUGUUCUACUAAUUGCAAGGGGAAUAUAACACCACUGCAGGGUUCAAAUCUGUUCUGCAGGAGUCCAUGGCAAGACUUCCAUUGACUCCAGUGGAUCCAGAAUUCCGUGAGCUGUUUGUUACGCUGUCAGACAGAGCAGACCUUGUGGCUCCGGGGACAAACUCCCAAACCACCCACUGUGGUGUUAUAUUCCCAAACCCUCUGCUCUGGCAUUGGGAACAUCCUUGAAAGGGGUUUCAUUGGAGAUGUGAACCCAAGGAAGGGUUGGUGUGUCAUCAUGUUUAACACUCACCACAAAGUACCCUCUGGAACCAGGAUUCAAUACCAACUUUCUCCAAUGUACAGCAUUUUAGGAUGCAUGUAGUAUCUUUAGUAGCCACAGAUCUGCCAUUUGGGGGCUGCAGCCCAGUAGGAUGUCCCCGUGUCCCUCGCUUCGAUGUACUCUUGUAUGGGUUAGAGAAGAUGGCCUCUGUCGUGCGUUGUUCGUGAGCUGUUUCUUAUCCCAGAGAGGUGUACGAUGUAAAAUACGUCAGUGCAAAGUGUAUAUUUUAUGUGAGAGGAAAAUACAUUUUAAUAAAGGUAAAGCUUUGUUUAGCUGUAAAAAAUGGCAACUGUUCAAGUGUACAGUAACUUCUUACUAAUGUAUGAAAAUCUGUGAUAUUUUUGAUUUGAUUGUAUUUGUAUUGCCCAAAUAAAACAUUUUGGCUGUAUUGUUCCUAA